UACGGAGGAUCCGAGCGUUAUCCGGAUUUAUUGGGUUUAAAGGGUGCGCAGGCGGGAAAUUAAGUCGGCGGUGAAAGGCUACGGCUCAACCGUAGUAAUCCUUUGAAACUGGGAAACUUGAGUGCAGGAGAGGAGAGUGGAAUUCCUAGUGUAGCGGUGAAAUGCGUAGAUAUUAGGAGGAACACCAGUUGCGAAGGCGGCUCUCUGGGCCAUUACUGACACUGAGAAGCGAAAGCAUGGGUAGCGAACAGGAUUAGAUAUCCCGGUAGUCCCUGA
rnacentral:rRNA from 1 species